rnacentral:rRNA from 1 species
ACUCAAAUGAAUUGACGGGGGCCCGCACAAGCGGCGGAGCGUGCGGUUUAAUUCGACGCAACGCGCAGAACCUUACCAGGGCUUGACAUGGAUCUGCAGAGCCGGGAAACCGGUUGGCCUUCGAGGGUGAUCCACAGGUGCUGCAUGGCUGUCGUCAGCUCGUGUCGUGAGAUGUUGGGUUAAGUCCCGCAACGAGCGCAACCCUCGUGGGUAGUUGUCGAUGUUUCUACCCAGACUGCCGCGAGCAACGCGGAGGAAGGUGGGGAUGAUGUCAAGUCAGCAUGGCCCUUACGUCCUGGGCAACACGCACGCUACAAUGGUCGGGACAGCGGGUCGCCAAGCGGUAACGCGGAGCGAAUCCCAAAAACCCGAUCUCAGUUGGAAUUGUGGGCUGCAACUCGCCCGCAUGAACGUGGAGUCGCUAGUAACCGCAGGUCAGCACUACUGCGGUGAAUACGUUCCCGGGCCUUGUACACACCGCCCGU